GACGUUAGCUGCAGAAGAAGACACCGGCUAACUCCGUGCCAGCAGCCGCGGUAAUACGGAGGGUGCGAGCGUUAAUCGGAAUUACUGGGCGUAAAGCGCAUGCAGGUGGUUUGUUAAGUCAGAUGUGAAAGCCCGGGGCGUCAACCUCGGAAUAGCAUUUGUAAACUGGCAGACUAGAGUACUGUAGAGGGGGGUAGGAAUUUCAGGUGUAGCGGUGAAAUGCGUAGAGAUCUGAAGGAAUACCGGUGGCGAAGGCGGCCCCCCUGGACAGAUACUGACACUCAGAUGCGAAAGCGUGGGGAGCAAACAGGAUUAGAUACCCCUGGUAG
rnacentral:rRNA from 1 species